rnacentral:lncRNA from 1 species
CUGAAUCCCUCAGCUCACUCAGUUUCAAGACCAUGUCUCCUAAAGACAAAAUAGCCUUUUAGGGUACCUCUUAAGGGCUGGGGUCAUGCGAAUUCAUUCCUGGCUUCUGAAGCAUCAGGAAUGGAACUCUGGCAAUCAUAUCUCUACUGCAUGAUCCAAACCUGGAUGUAGCUGCCUGGAGGGGAGGGCAGGGGCUUGGGCUGUUUGAUUAAAUUAGAUCUACAGAAGUUUGACUUAAUUUUAUUUAUUUAUUUAUUUAUUGCUUUC